GCGUCGGUAGUGCAACGGUCCAACACGCGUUCCCUGAUAGGGUGAAAGGUGGGUUCAAAUCCCACCUGACGCU